rnacentral:tRNA from 1 species
GGAGCGGUGGCAGAGUGGUUGAAUGCACCGGUCUUGAAAACCGGCAUAGGUGAGAGCCUAUCGUGGGUUCGAAUCCCACCCGCUCCGCCA